CCCUUAGAUGUUCUGGGCCGCACGCGCGCUACACUGACUACUUCAACGAGUUGUUUCCUUGAUCGAAAGGUCUGGGUAAUCUUUGAAAGGUAGUCGUGAUGGGGAUAGAUCCUUGCAAUUUUUGAUCUUCAACGAGGAAUUCCUAGUAAACGCAAGUCAUCAGCUUGCAUUGAUUACGUCCCUGCCCUUUGUACACACCGCCCGUCGCACCUACCGAUUGAAUGGUCCGGUGAAAUCUCCGGACUGGCGUGAGUCGGAGCAAUCUGACAAACGCCGGAAAGUUGAUUAAACCUUACCAUUUAGAGGAAGGUGAAGUCGUAACA
rnacentral:rRNA from 1 species